rnacentral:lncRNA from 1 species
GAGAGCUGUUUGUGUGCCAGGCUGUGUGCCGGGUUCCCUCCUUCCCUUGAAGGCAGUCUUGGGAAGGUGGAGGUACUGAAAGGAUGAGUCCAGGUGACAUACCCAACAAGGGACCUGGAAAACAAGUCACCUGCAGUGGGAACACUGGGAAGAGAGCCCUUCAUCUUCCCUGGGCAGGAGGGUGCUCUGCAGUGGCUGCUCUAUACAUAUUUCAGUCUAAAUGAGCUGAGAAAAAGGUUCCAAACAGCGAGCUCGGAAGCCUAAAACUCAGGAAAAAGCCCUUCCGUGGCUCCAUCCAGCUGAGCAAACCCUGAAAGCCAACAUGAUUGAUGCUCCAGCAUGGGCAAGGAAGAGCCCCAACUCCCCUUCAGAGACCCUUGCUUGCUUUACUCUGUGUGAUUUCAUGCAUAGGACAGGGAUCUUGAAGGCCUUGAAAGUAAAAUAAACAAAAA